UACAGAGGUCCCAAGCGUUGUUCGGAUUCAUUGGGCGUAAAGGGUGCGUAGGCGGCGCGGUAAGUCGGGUGUGAAAUCUUGGAGCUUAACUCCGAAACUGCAUUCGAUACUGCCGUGCUUGAGGACUGGAGAGGAGACUGGAAAUUUACGGUGUAGCGGUGAAAUGCGUAGAUAUCGUAAGGAAGACCAGUGGCGAAGGCGGGUCUCUGGACAGUUCCUGACGCUGAGGCACGAAGGUCAGGGGAGCAAACGGG
rnacentral:rRNA from 1 species